rnacentral:rRNA from 1 species
GUUUUCUGUGUUAGACCGUGUACAAGUCUCCUGGAACGGAGCCUCAUAGAGGGUGAGAAUCCCGUCCAUGACACGGACUACUAAUACUUUGUGAUACGCUCUCAAAGAGUCGAGUUGUUUGGGAAUGCAGCUCAAAAUGGGUGGUAAAUUCCAUCUAAAGCUAAAUACUGGCGAGAGACCGAUAGCGAACAAGUACCGUGAGGGAAAGAUGAAAAGCACUUUGGAAAGAGAGUUAAACAGUACGUGAAAUUGUUGAAAGGGAAACGCUUGAAGUCAGUCGCGUUGUGCAGAACUCAGCCUUGCCUCGGCUUGGUGUACUUUCUGCACGCAACGGGUCAACAUCAAUUUUGGUCCAUGGAGAAAGGUAGGGGGAAUGUAGCGCUGCUUCGGCAGCGUGUUAUAGCCCUCUAUUGUAUGCAUGGGCUGGGAUUGAGGAACGCAGCACGCCCUUGUGGCCGGGGGUUCGCCCCACGUACCGUGCUUAGGAUGUUGGCAGAAUGGCUUUAAGCGACCCGUCUUGAAACACGGACCAAGGAGUCUAACAUGCUUGCAAGUGUUCGGGUGGAAAACCCYUGUGCGUAAUGAAAGUGAAAGUUGGGAACCUCCGCAAKGGGGUGCACCGACGCCCGGCCCUGACGUUCUCUGACGGUGCUGCGGUAGAGCAAGUAUGCUAGGACCCGAAAGAUGGUGAACUAUGCCUGAAUAGGGCGAAGCCAGAGGAAACUCUGGUGGAGGCUCGUAGCGAUUCYGACGUGCAAAUCGAUCGUCAAAUUUGGGUAUA